AGCAUGUUAAUUCAGUGGUAGAGCAUCUGCUGGGCAUGCAGAAGGUCCCAAGUUCAAUCCCUGAAUGCAUUU